AGCCCGCUCAGAAACUCAAAUGAAUUGACGGGGCCCGGCACAAGCGGUGGAGCAUGUGGUUUAAUUCGACGCAACGCGAAGAACCUUACCUGGGCUUGACAUCCCGAUCGCACCUUAUGGAAACAUAGGGGUCAGUUCGGCUGGAUCGGUGACAGGUGCUGCAUGGCUGUCGUCAGCUCGUGUCGUGAGAUGUUGGGUUAAGUCCCGCAACGAGCGCAACCCUUGUCCUUAGUUGCCAGCAUUCAGUUGGGCACUCUAAGGAGACUGCCGGUGUUAAACCGGAGGAAGGUGGGGAUGACGUCAAGUCCUCAUGGCCCUUAUGUCCAGGGCUACACACGUGCUACAAUGGCCGGUACAAAGGGGCGCAAGACCGCGAGGUGGAGCAAAUCCCAAAAAACCGGUCUCAGUUCGGAUUGGAGUCUGCAACUCGACUCCAUGAAGUUGGAAUCGCUAGUAAUCGCGUAUCAGCAUGACGCGGUGAAUACGUUCCCGGGCCUU
rnacentral:rRNA from 1 species